UGGCUUAGAGGAUAAAGCGUCUGCCUGCAAUGCAGGAAACCCGGGUUCAAUCCCUGG
rnacentral:tRNA from 1 species